rnacentral:rRNA from 1 species
GACGAACGCUGGCGGCGUGCUUAACACAUGCAAGUCGAACGGAAAGGCCCUGCUUUUGUGGGGUGCUCGAGUGGCGAACGGGUGAGUAACACGUGAGUAACCUGCCCUUGACUUUGGGAUAACUUCAGGAAACUGGGGCUAAUACCGGAUAGGAGCUCCUGCUGCAUGGUGGGGGUUGGAAAGUUUCGGCGGUUGGGGAUGGACUCGCGGCUUAUCAGCUUGUUGGUGGGGUAGUGGCUUACCAAGGCUUUGACGGGUAGCCGGCCUGAGAGGGUGACCGGCCACAUUGGGACUGAGAUACGGCCCAGACUCCUACGGGAGGCAGCAGUGGGGAAUAUUGCACAAUGGGCGGAAGCCUGAUGCAGCAACGCCGCGUGCGGGAUGACGGCCUUCGGGUUGUAAACCGCUUUCGCCUGUGACGAAGCGUGAGUGACGGUAAUGGGUAAAGAAGCACCGGCUAACUACGUGCCAGCAGCCGCGGUGAUACGUAGGGUGCGAGCGUUGUCCGGAUUUAUUGGGCGUAAAGGGCUCGUAGGUGGUUGAUCGCGUCGGAAGUGUAAUCUUGGGGCUUAAAGUGAGCGUGCUUUCGAUGCGGGUUGACUUGAGGAACUUUGGGGAGAAUGGAAUUCCUGGUGGAGCGGUGGAAUGCGCAGAUAUCAGGAGGUACACCAGUGGCGAAGGCGGUUCUCUGGGCCUUUCCUGACGCUGAGGAGCGAAAGCGUGGGGAGCGAACAGGCUUAGAUACCCUGGUAGUCCACGCUGUAAACGGUGGGUACUAGGCGUGGGGUCCAUUCCACGGGUUCCGUGCCGUAGCUAACGCUUUAAGUACCCCGCCUGGGGAGUACGGCCGCAAGGCUAAAACUCAAAGGAAUUGACGGGGCCCCGCACAAGCGGCGGAGCAUGCGGGUUAAUUCGAUGCAACGCGUAGAACCUUACCUGGGUUUGACAUGGAUCGGGAGUGCUCAGAGAUGGGUGUGCCUCUUUUGGGGUCGGUUCACAGGUGGUGCAUGCCUGUCGUCAGCUCGUGUCGUGAGAUGUUGGGUUAAGUCCCGCAACGAGCGCAACCCUUGUUCACUGUUGCCAGCACGUUAUGGUGGGGACUCAGUGGAGACCGCCGGGGUCAACUCGGAGGAAGGUGGGGAUGACGUCAAGUCAUCAUGCCCCUUAUGUCCAGGGCUUCACGCAUGCUACAAUGGCUGGUACAGAGAGUGGCGAGCCUGUGAGGGUGAGCGAAUCUCGGAAAGCCGGUCUCAGUUCGGAUUGGGGUCUGCAACUCGACCUCAUGAAGUCGGAGUCGCUAGUAAUCGCAGAUCAGCAACGCUGCGGUGAAUACGUUCCCGGG